CACGCCGUAUGUGCAUGUGAAAGGCACGUGAAGUGGGUUGAGCCAUCGCUGUCUGCCGGGGUCGUGGGAAGAGAGCCAUCGUAUAAACGACCUAAUAAUGUCUAGCUAGUAAGCGGAAAAAGUUGCAGCUGAAAUCCAGAAACAAGCCAAUCGAUGCUGAAAUAUAUUAAAAUUAGCAGUGGUGAUAUAGAAGGACAAGAAGAAAAAGAUGUUAGUGAUUUUCAAAUAGUAGAGCAAAACCUAAUUACCAUCCCGAAUGGUUCUGAAGAAGAAGAAUAAAAAGAUGUUAGUGAUUUUCAAAUAGUAGAGCAAAACCUAAUUACCAUCCCCAAUGGUUCUGAAGAACAAGAAUAAAAACGUAUGGAAACAGUAAUACGAGUACGCAAGAAAAACAUGGGCCAUUUACAGUCAUUCAAUAUUAUAUCGUGACGUGGUCAACACAUCUCUCACGAAAGUCUCUUAACACCACGUGGUCAACGCUAUUCUCACAAGACAGCCACCUGUAGCCUCGGUUCCGUGAGAAACAGCGAUAUGUGACUUGGAACAUUAGUUUCCAAAAUCAUAUUUUCAUUCCUCCGGACUAUAACGUGAAAGUCUCAAUCUUUCCACCAGAGCAACAUCAUCUUUAUGUAUCGCAACUUCUGAAUAGUUACAUCUCAAUCUUUCCACCAGAGCAACAGCAUCUUUAUGUAUCGCAACUUCUGAAUAGUUACAUCUCAAUCUUUCCACCAGAGCAACAGCAUCUUUAUGUAUCGCAACUUCUGAAUAGUUACAUCUAUGUGAUAGCAUAUAGUGAAUUACAGCAUCCUUGAAGAAAGAGCAACUCGUUCAAAAAAUCCAUUUUGUUAUUGUUGUCUUAACUUUUUCUCGACCUGUGCUCUUCUAGAUUUAGAGUUACCUCGUGGCCAACAUAAUGAAACCAGAAGUAAAUAUACCUAUUAAUAUUGGUUUUCCUAAUAUUGUAGAAGGUUUUAAAAGAAAAACCUUUCGACGCACUACUCAAGUCUUCAUCUUGCCAUUCUUAUAACUCGAGACCUCAACUUUC